rnacentral:misc_RNA from 1 species
UUUCCGUAGGUGAACCUGCGGAAGGAUCAUUAUCGUAGGGGCCUCGCCCCCUUCGAGAUAGCACCCUUUGUUUAUGAGCACCUCUCGUUUCCUCGGCAGGCUCGCCUGCCAACGGGGACCCACCACACACCCAUUGCAGUACAAGAAGUACACGUCUGAACAAAACAAAAUAUUAACAACUUUCAACAUCGGAUCUCUGGGUUCUGGCAUCGAUGAAGAACGCAGC